GAGUGGUGUUUGGUUUGAUACGGGUGGUYGGCUCCCUGCUUGAGCAGGCACGACCANGNGUACAUUCCUUUUCAGUUAUGCGGCAAGGCUUGUAUCGUCUUGAUCGUAUAUGUGGGUUUCCUGUGUUGCAUACCUGAUCAACGGCAUUGUUUUGAUCAAAAACGUACCUYUUUCGUCMGGCGUUGCACCCGCAAUGUCGGAUGAACCAUACAGCAUCCUCUUUGAUCCAUAUAGUUGAUGAUUGUUCGUUGAUUGUUUGGCCCGUUGAGGGUGGCUUGGUCUCUUGGAUAUGGAAGCCAAAGUGGGCAUGGGUUCGUAUGAUCCUUUUAAUGCCCUCGUUGAGCGUUCUCGCUUCUCUUACACGACAGCCNUWCACGUAUGGCACGUCCCAGCGUGUUUGGCUACGUCGAAGAGGAAUGCUACCUGGUUGAUCCUGCCAGUAGUCAUAU
rnacentral:misc_RNA from 1 species